GAUGAACGCUGGCGGCGUGCCUAAUACAUGCAAGUCGAGCGAACAGACGAGGAGCUUGCUCCUCUGACGUUAGCGGCGGACGGGUGAGUAACACGUGGAUAACCUACCUAUAAGACUGGGAUAACUUCGGGAAACCGGAGCUAAUACCGGAUAAUAUAUUGAACCGCAUGGUUCAAUAGUGAAAGACGGUUUUGCUGUCACUUAUAGAUGGAUCCGCGCCGCAUUAGCUAGUUGGUAAGGUAACGGCUUACCAAGGCAACGAUGCGUAGCCGACCUGAGAGGGUGAUCGGCCACACUGGAACUGAGACACGGUCCAGACUCCUACGGGAGGCAGCAGUAGGGAAUCUUCUGCAAAGGGCGAAAGCUUGACGGAGCAACGCCGCGUGAGUGAUGAAGGUCUUCGGAUCGUAAAACUCUGUUAUUAGGGAAGAACAAAUGUGUAAGUAACUAUGCACGUCUUGACGGUACCUAAUCAGAAAGCCACGGCUAACUACGUG
rnacentral:rRNA from 1 species